GAAUCCCGUCUUUGGCACGGAUGUACCGGGGCUUUUGUGAUGCGCUCUCGAAGAGUCGAGUUGUUUGGGAAUGCAGCUCAAAAUGGGUGGUGAACUCCAUCUAAAGCUAAAUAUUGGCGAGAGACCGAUAGCGAACAAGUACCGUGAGGGAAAGAUGAAAAGCACUUUGGAAAGAGAGUGAAACAGUACGUGAAAUUGUUGAAAGGGAAACGCUUGAAGUCAGUCGCGUCGACCGAGACUCAGCCUCGCCUCGGCUUGGUGUACUUCUCGGCUGACGGGUCAGCAUCAAUUUUGCCCCUUGGAUAAUGGCGAGGGAAAUGUGACACCUUUGCGGUGUGUUAUAGUCUCUCGUCGCAUGCAAGGGUCGGGAUUGAGGAACUCAGCACGCGCCUUUGGGCGUCGGGGCUUUGCCCACGAUACGUGCUUAGGAUGCUGGCGUAAUGGCUUUAAACGACCCGUCUUGAAACACGGACCAAGGAGUCUAACAUGCCUGCGAGUGUUCGGGUGGAAAACCCGUGCGCGCAAUGAAAGUGAGAGUUGGGACCUCUGUCGUGGAGGGCACCGACGCCCGGACCAGACCUUCUGUGACGGUUCUGCGGUAGAGCAUGUAUGUUAGGACCCGAAAGAUGGUGAACUAUGCCUGAAUAGGGUGAAGCCAGAGGAAACUCUGGUGGAGGCUCGUAGCGAUUCUGACGUGCAAAUCGAUCGUCAAAUUUGGGUAUAGGGGCGAAAGACUAAUCGAACCAUCUAGUAGCUGGUUCCUGCC
rnacentral:rRNA from 1 species